UGAGGAAUAUUGGUCAAUGGACGCAAGUCUGAACCAGCCAAGUAGCGUGCAGGAUGACGGCCCUAUGGGUUGUAAACUGCUUUUAUAUGGGGAUAAAGUGGGGAACGUGUUCCCUUUUGCAGGUACCAUAUGAAUAAGGACCGGCUAAUUCCGUGCCAGCAGCCGCGGUAAUACGGAAGGUUCGGGCGUUAUCCGGAUUUAUUGGGUUUAAAGGGAGCGUAGGCCGUUUGGUAAGCGUGUUGUGAAAUGUAGGAGCUCAACUUCUAGAUUGCAGCGCGAACUGUCAGACUUGAGUGCGCACAACGUAAGCGGAAUUCAUGGUGUAGCGGUGAAAUGCUUAGAUAUCAUGAAGAACUCCGAUUGCGAAGGCAGCUUACGGGAGCGCAACUGACGCUGAAGCUCGAAGGUGCGGGUAUCGAACAGG
rnacentral:rRNA from 1 species